rnacentral:lncRNA from 1 species
AACGAGCCUAUUUCAGAUUGCAGGAAGAUGGAUUCUCCAGCCAGUUCCGCCACCACAGGCUGCGGAUCCCGAGCCCAUUGAACCCUCCAGGACCUGGACACUGGACCUGCCGUCCUGCCUUCUCCCUUAUCUCGGUGCUUGGCAGGUGCCAUGGAUUUCACACUUCCACUGACCUCUGAGCGCUGCCAAAGCCAGGGAGGCACAUCGGGCAGAUAACGUGUCCCCAGUGUCCCCAUUCCACCUCUGCCUUCCCGAGUCCCUUAGGCUCUGGGGAGAGUUACUUAAAAAUAUGCCAGAUUUAAGGUCUGUCUGAAGUCAAAUAAAAAUUCUGCAUUGUUUAAAUCACAUUUCCGUGGCCUUCAUAUUUAAUAAAGGAGUUGUAUU